rnacentral:rRNA from 1 species
GACGAACGCUGGCGGCGUGCCUAAUACAUGCAAGUAGAACGCUGAAGAGAGGAGCUUGCUCUUCUUGGAUGAGUUGCGAACGGGUGAGUAACGCGUAGGUAACCUGCCUUGUAGCGGGGGAUAACUAUUGGAAACGAUAGCUAAUACCGCAUAACAAUGGAUGACUCAUGUCAUUUAUUUGAAAGGGGCAAAUGCUCCACUACGAGAUGGACCUGCGUUGUAUUAGCUAGUAGGUGAGGUAACGGCUCACCUAGGCGACGAUACAUAGCCGACCUGAGAGGGUGAUCGGCCACACUGGGACUGAGACACGGCCCAGACUCCUACGGGAGGCAGCAGUAGGGAAUCUUCGGCAAUGGGGGCAACCCUGACCGAGCAACGCCGCGUGAGUGAAGAAGGUUUUCGGAUCGUAAAGCUCUGUUGUAAGUCAAGAACGAGUGUGAGAGUGGAAAGCUCACACUGUGACGGUAGCUUACCAGAAAGGGACGGCUAACUACGUGCCAGCAGCAGCCGCAG